AUUGAACGCUGGCGGCAGGCCUAACACAUGCAAGUCGAACGAGUGGCGGACGGGUGAGUAAUGUCUGGGAAACUGCCCGAUGGAGGGGGAUAACUACUGGAAAAGGUAGCUAAUACCGCAUACACUCGGAUGGGCCCAGAUGGGAUUAGCUAGUAGGUGGGGUAACGGCUCACCGAGGGGACGAUCCCUAGCUGGGCUGAGAGGAUGACCAGCCAGACUGGAGCUGAGACACGGUCCAGACCCAUCCGAGGGGCAGCGGUGGAAAAUAUUGCACAAGUGGCGCAAGCCUGAUGCAGCCAUGCCGCGUGUAUGAAGGAGGCCUGCGGGUUGUAGAGUACUUUCAGCGAAGAGGCGUUAUUCACAGGAGAAGCACCGGCUAACUCCGUGCCAGCGCCGCGGUAAUUC
rnacentral:rRNA from 1 species